GUUCUCCUGCUGGGACAGGGGCCAACGCGGCCGGUUGGCACAUAGGAGUGAGGAGCUGCCCCGCCGCCGGCGACCACGGCCCGCCCCGCCCCCAGCUCCCCUGCGCCGCCACCUCGGCGCCACCAGCUCCUCUGCCGCAGGACAUAGAUGCCUUUCUUCCACCCGUGCUCGCGGAGGUGGCUCGGCAUUGGCCUUGCGGAUGGGAGCAGUUGUCCUAGUGGCGCAGCUCGCGGCGGAGGGCUGGGGUCGUCGAGGGCGAGCGAUGCAGAGGUGGACAGCGAUGAUGGCGGCUUUGGCUCGGCCGGAAAGAGCGAACAAGAGAGAUAGCUAUGUAUAAGUGGAAGCAAUUCAUCAUAGAAACAAGAUGGUACAAGUUAGACAAAUAUGUGCCUUGCAUUUCUACAUCAACAAAAAGGCCCUUGAAGUGAUGCAAUCCUCUGAAUUCAAGGGGGGAAAGGGUAAUUGCUGCAAAGGCAUCUAAAUAACCACCUUAGCAUUUAGCCAUCUGUACUGCAGGUAAUGCUCAUCUAGCAUAACUGCUGUAAUGCUACCGCUAUUACUAUGUACUGUCUAUUCUGCCACCAUGCAUGUGUCAAAUUUUGCUAGAUAAAUCCUGUCCACAAUCUGCAUAUAUCUAAUGAUUAGCUUUUAGCCUCUAUGUCAACCAGCGAUAUACACGCUCAAAUCAACAUGUUAAUUAUAAGGCGACUGGUAGGGCACGCAAAGCAUGCCGCGCAUCCUUGUUUGAUUCACGUAAUGAAUGAAUGAUGAGGUUUAGUGUUUUGUCCCCUGAAUUAGUUGGACUGUUGGUGUGUUUUGGUAUAUUUUGUGUGAGGUCCUGAUUUUGUUGUCUCUUUUCCUUAUUAGCUCUUAAGCAUAAUGUUUAGAGAGAUGCAGGUUAUGGUGAAUGGUUUUUUUUUUCUUCCAAGGCUAGUAAAAUUUGGAGUCGUCCAGUUGUGCAGCUGCUCACCAUGGAAAAGCUACCAUAUUAUUGGUUACCUCAAUUUGGUCUAUGUCCAGUUUCAACCAAGGUUGUAUUCUAAACUGUUCAGAAUCAUGAGGCUGAGGUCAAUCCAUGCUAUAAUCUAUAGAAAAUUUCUAAACUAAACUUUGUUGCAGGGUGUUUGAUUCUUUCUUUUAUCUAAUAUGUUUAGAACUCAUUCCAUGAUAUAGUUUGUAUAAAAUUCAGGACUAAAGCUUACUGUCAGGAUUUUGAGAUGGUACCUAAUCACCACAGUUCGCGUUUUUUUUUUUCCAAUCCGAUGAUUUGCCCAGUUUGGAAUUUGUUGCAGUUUAGCAAACUGAGUAGUUUCUGGAAGUCAUGUUUCAAUCUGUUUGAGGUUACAGUUUCAACUUUGAAGUGGUGUGACGUCAUCAUCCUUGCCUUGGAGUUGCUGUUUCAAAUUUGUGUGCCAUUUGAGUUGAUAAAUUAGAAAGACAUUGUGAUAUUUGAACUGCAUGCUUAGACUAUUAGUUGCUGAAGUGGCUACUGAAGCACUUUUUGCAGAUUUAGAAAAAAUGGGUACCAAAAAGUUGUUGAUCUGCAUAGUAUGUGCAAUAAAUUCCAGCAGGAUUUCGAACAUUGGUUGGUUAGUUCAGAUUAUUGAGAUAACAUUUUCGCCAACUAAAAGCUUUCACUUGAAAACUUCAUGGAGCAUAUUCCCCAUUCUUGAGACACAACUUUGUCCAAGAACUAAAUAUGCCUAGGGAAGGGGUUAAGGAUCAAAAUUCAUGUUCCCAUUUCAUUCUUACUAUUGAUAUUUUACUUCAAAUUGCUAUGCCAAGUUGCCAACAUCAGAAUACAUCAGCAAAUUAUGGAGCAAAAUAGAUACAUUUGUGUUGAUUAUUUUUUUUUUGGACUUUUGAUGCCCCUUAGGAAUUAGGGGAAUUAUGUGUAGCAUGUGGACAAGUUUAUUUUCUUGCCAACUACAUCAAGAUUCUUCUGUUCAUUAAUAUAUAGAGACUUCCUCUAAAACAUUAUGUAUUGCAUUGGAGCUGGAUAUUGCAAUAUGUAAUUAUGUAGAUAGUGGGACUAUGGAAUUUUAAUCGCGUUGGUUCUUCCAUGUUAAUUUCGAUGUAAUUACUCCGUUCUUUUCUUUUGCAAGACUGACGCCUUGUCGUUUGUUUGCAAUAUUGCAUUUCUUGUCAAAACUUGGAUUUACUGCCAUGUUAAUAUUAAAAGGUUAGGACUCACUGUGGCAUGCCAGAAUGCAUACUUACUAGAAAGCAAAUAACUGCUUAUGCUAUAUUUUGCUGGUUUACAAUGCAGUGCAGAGGCCUACGGAGCAAAUAGCUGAUGCGGAAGCCCUGUUGGACAUUGCAAAAAACUUUGGUAACAUCUGUGAGGUCUCAGUCAAGUGAAGGAAUCACUCCCUCUGAUUUCGUAACAGCAACGCUGAAGAAAUUUGGGGCAAUCAGGGGGCCUUGAAUCUGAGGCUGCUUCAUUGCGCUGGGGCGAUGUUGGGCUUUCUGUGCCCCAUGUCUUCAGGGCUUCACCUGGAUGCUGCACUAUAUUUGGACCCAUGAAUACAGAAGUAAAGCAGCGGAAGACUGCGGUUGUCAAUACAAAAUGAACCGCGAGGCCAACCGAAAAUAUUCGUCCUGAACAGGUAGCCAACUAGGCAAGUAACCAUAUGCUUUUGUAAUAGAGGAUAUAAUAGACAGCAAUGAAACCAUAAUAGCCACCUGUGCAUUUCUUUCAUCGUGGUAUUCAUUUCUCCCUCCAAAUUAAUCUACCAUGAGUCUGUGAGGUAGAUAGCAGGUCCGGUGCUAUUAUUCAAUGCCAUUGACUGGAAACUCAACAUAUACCUUACUAGAUUCCAUUUUGUAACUGUGUUGCUUACAUGUUCUGAACCAUAGAACCUUUCCUUUUUUUUUCUUUAUUAAAGGAACAUCUGGGACAGUACCAUUUAUAUUCCUUGUCCACUAUCAAGUU